CAGUAGCCGCGGUAAUACGUAGGGUGCGAGCGUUAAUCGGAAUUACUGGGCGUAAAGCGUGCGCAGGCGGUUAUAUAAGACAGAUGUGAAGUCCCCGGGCUCAACCUGGGACCUGCAUUUGUGACUGUAUAGCUAGAGUACGGUAGAGGGGGAUGGAAUUCCGCGUGUAGCAGUGAAAUGCGUAGAUAUGCGGAGGAACACCGAUGGCGAAGGCAAUCCCCUGGACCUGUACUGACGCUCAUGCACGAAAGCGUGGGGAGCAAACAGGAUUAGAUACCCCCGUAGUCCCUGUCUCUUAUAA
rnacentral:rRNA from 1 species